UUACUUACCUGGUUGAGGUUAAUGGAUGAUCAUAAAGGUCCAUGGCCUAGGCAAGUGACCUCCAUUGCACUUAGGAGGGGUGCUUGCCUAAGGUCUACCCAAGUGGUGGAUGCCUUAUUUCUAGGAGAUUUUUUAUAUGAUUUAGUUCGUCUAUUAU